rnacentral:rRNA from 1 species
GUCGAACGCGAAAGCCCCGCAAGGGGUAAGUAGAGUGGCAAACGGGUGAGUAACACGUGGGUGACCUGCCUGAGAGUGGGGGAUAACGACCCGAAAGGGUCGCUAAUACCGCAUGACAUCCUGCGUUUGGAAACGCGGAGAUCAAAGCCGGGGAUCGCAAGACCUGGCGCUCACAGAGGGGCCCGCGGCCGAUUAGCUAGUUGGUAGGGUAACGGCCUACCAAGGCAACGAUCGGUAUCCGGCCUGAGAGGGCGGACGGACACACUGGGACUGAGACACGGCCCAGACUCCUACGGGAGGCAGCAGUGGGGAAUUGUUCGCAAUGGGCGCAAGCCUGACGACGCAACGCCGCGUGGAGGAUGAAGAUCUUCGGGUCGUAAACUCCUUUCGAUCGGGAAGAACGUUUUCGGGGUGAACAAUCCCGAGAAGUGACGGUACCGAGAGAAGAAGCCCCGGCUAACUCCGUGCCAGCAGCCGCGGUAAUACGGGGGGGGCAAGCGUUGUUCGGAAUUACUGGGCGUAAAGGGCCCGUAGGCGGCCAACUAAGUCCGACGUGAAAUCCCCAGGCUUAACCUGGGAACUGCGUCGGAUACUGGAUGGCUUGAAUCCGGGAGAGGGAUGCAGAAUUCCAGGUGUAGCGGUGAAAUGCGUAGAUAUCUGGAGGAAUACGNGUGGCGAAGGCGGCAUCCUGGACCGGCAUUGACGCUGAACGGCGAAAGCUAGGGGAGCAAACGGGAUUAGAUACCCCGGUAGUCUAGCCCUAA